rnacentral:misc_RNA from 1 species
CCAGGGGCGGCGGGCCCUGCGAACCUCUGUAUCUCAACCACUAGAAAACCGUCUGAGAAAAAACAAAACAGUCAAAACUUUCAACAACGGAUCUCUUGGCUCUGGCAUCGAUGAAGAACGCAGCGAAAUGCGAUACGUAAUGUGAAUUGCAGAAUUCAGCGAACCAUCGAAUCUUUGAACGCACAUUGCGCCCGCCAGCAUUCUGGCGGGCAUGCCUGUCCGAGCGUCAUUUCCCCCCUCACGCGCCCCGUUGCGCGCUGGUGUUGGGGCGCCCUCCGCCUGGCGGGGGGCCCCCGAAAGCGAGUGGCGGGCCCUGUGGAUGGCUCCGAGCGCAGUACCGAACGCAUGUUCUCCCCUCGCUCCGGACGCCCCCCCAGGCGCCCUGCCGUGAAAACGCGCAUGACGCGCAGCUCUUCUUAUACAAGG